rnacentral:ribozyme from 1 species
UGCCCAGCAACUCCUAUCCCUACCUCCUCGUGGUACUGGCCGGGGUACGAGUAACCUUGGGGAAGAUCGGGUAACCAACCCCCGGUGGGAACUUUAGUCGUAUGCUGCUGACAGGGAAGG